GUAACAAAAGUGGAAAGAAAAAAAAACAAUAAGAGAAGGACGUGAGAAAUCAAGAGAAAAACAAGAAAAAGUGAGAGAGAGCUUUGAAACUUAUAAGAUUGAAAGACUUAGAACAUUAAAUUAAGGAAGAAUCAAGUGAAGGAAGACAUAAGAAAGGUGAGGAGGGCUGGCCACACUAGGAGGAGAAGAAAAGUUGGGAGAACUUAGCUUGGUAAGCAUGAAAAAUUUAGAUUAUUACUUGAAUGAAGUGUUUUUGGGUUUAUUUGAGUAAGUUAUCAAACAAUGACAAUUAAAUUUGACUUAAUUUCUUAUAUUCUUGAUUUUUGUUAAAUUAGGGUUCUUAUGAGAAUUUGGGGGUUUUGAGAAAAGUAGUAAACAUGAUGGAAUUGAGGUAGAAUAGUAUAGAAAUAGUGAAUGUAAGUAGCAAUUAAGAAAGAAAUUGAAUAAUUUUGAAGAAAAGAACUUGUAAUUAAGGAUGAGGAAAUAUAGGGAUCAAGUUUUAAUUGUUUUAUGUUUGAGAAAUGAUGUUCUUUAUCUUAUGUGAAGUAUUCAAAAUAUGAACAAGUGAAAAAAAACAUCAUGAGAAUGUGAAAAGAAGGAAUAAAUAAAUGGUGGAAUAGUUCAUGGAAGAAUUCUUUAAGUGAAGUAAAAGAAGAAAAUUGAUUAAAACUAUAUGUUGAAAAUGAAGUGAUAAAUGAAUGAAAAUUUUGGUGUAAACCCCAAUUAAAUAAAUAAAUAAAAAUAUUACGUGCUUCAAAUUUAGGCACGUAGGAGAAAUAAUAACGUAGUGCAAUUUGAUUUAUUCAGGAGUUGUUUCGGGAGUAGGGCAUCAGGCAGGAGGAGCUGGGCCAUCACGAGCAGACGGUAGGUGAUUCAUCUCUUUCUUUAAAAUUCAAAGUUUCAUUAUUAGUUAUGAGUUGUUUAUGACAUGUUAAUAUGGAAGAAGUAGAAGAAGAAACUGUUGGUAUUAUAAUGGGAUGUCGGGUGGUUCGUAUAGAAUUACCAGUUAGUAUGGGAUUACCGGUUGGUAAAGAAUUUCCGGUUGGUUAGCAUGAAUUACCGAUUGGUAUAGAAUUACCGGUUGGUUAGCAUGAAUUACCGGUUGGUAUAGAAUAGUAUGGAAUUACCGGUUCGAAUGGAGUUACCGGUUAGAUUGGCUAUUGAUAGAGAAUAGCCGGAUGUUUGGUAAUUCAUAUGGAAUUACCGGUUAUAUAUUGGCUAUCGAUAGAGAAUAGCCGGAUGUUGGGUAAUUCGUAUGGAAUUACCGGAUGUUGGGUAAUUCGUAUGGAAUUACCGGUUAUAUAUUGGCUAUUGAUAGAGAAUAGCCGGAUGUUGGGUAAUUCGUAUGGAAUUACCGGAUGUUGGGUAAUUCGUAUGGAAUUACCGGUUAUAUAUUGGCUAUUGAUAGAGAAUAGCCGGAUGUUGGGAAGUACCGGAUGUUGGGUAAUUCGUAUGGAAUUACCGGUUAUAUAUUGACUAUUGAUAGAGAAUAGCUGGAUGUUGGGUAAUUCGUAUAAAAUUACCGGUUUGAUUAUUGGCCAUUUAAGAGGGUUAGUCGGGCUUGAGGUAAAAUUUGUGAAUUACCAAAUUAAAUAUAUAUAUAUAUAUAUAUAUAUAUAUAUAUAUAUAUAUAUAUAUAUAUAUUAAACAAUGAGUGUUGGUUACAAAGGUCUUAUAAGUAUAAGAUUAAUAAAUCAUAAAUGGGUUAUUAAUGUUGAUAUAUUUUGAAGACUUGUGCACAUAAUAGCUUUAUCAUUUUUAAUGUGUUAUCUUCCUUAUUUCUUAUUAAUGUUAUGUAUACAGGUUGUUCACGAAGUGAUGCGGAGCGUUAGAUAUAGGCUUUGUGUUUUAAUCUGUUUAUUUUGUGGGA
rnacentral:lncRNA from 1 species